GUGGGGAAUAUUGGGCAAUGGGGGAAACCCUGACCCAGCAACGCCGCGUGAAGGAAGAAGGCCCUCGGGUUGUAAACUUCUUUUACCAGGGACGAAGGAUGUGACGGUACCUGGAGAAAAAGCAACGGCUAACUACGUGCCAGCAGCCGCGGUAAUACGUAGGUUGCAAGCGUUGUCCGGAUUUACUGGGUGUAAAGGGCGUGUAGGCGGAGCUGCAAGUCAGAUGUGAAAUCCUGGGGCUUAACCCCGGAACUGCAUUUGAAACUGUAGCCCUUGAGUAUCGGAGAGGCAAGCGGAAUUCCUAGUGUAGCGGUGAAAUGCGUAGAUAUUAGGAGGAACACCAGUGGCGAAGGCGGCUUGCUGGACGACAACUGACGCUGAGGCGCGAAAGCGUGGGGAGCAAACAGGAUUAGAUACCCGUGUAGUCC
rnacentral:rRNA from 1 species